AUCCCAGUCCUAGGAGCGCCACUUGGUGGUGUUGCGGCUGCCCUAGCGCAUGGCGUUAGGGCAGUCGAGGAUGGGAUCAAUUAUGCAACAGGGAAUUUACCCGGUUGCUCUUU
rfam:Hepatitis C virus subtype 6n isolate KM42, complete genome